GUAGGGUGCGAGCGUUGUCCGGAUUUAUUGGGCGUAAAGGGCUCGUAGGUGGUUGAUCGCGUCGGAAGUGUAAUCUUGGGGCUUAACCCUGAGCGUGCUUUCGAUACGGGUUGACUUGAGGAAGGUAGGGGAGAAUGGAAUUCCUGGUGGAGCGGUGGAAUGCGCAGAUAUCAGGAGGUACACCAGUGGCGAAGGCGGUUCUCUGGGCCUUUCCUGACGCUGAGGAGCGAAAGCGUGGGGAGCGAACAGGCUUAGAUACCCUGGUAGUCCACGCUGUAAACGGUGGGUACUAGGUGUGGGGUCCAUUCCACGGGUUCCGUGCCGUAGCUAACGCUUUAAGUACCCCGCCUGGGGAGUACGGCUGCAAGGCUAAAACUCAAAGGAAUUGACGGGGCCCCGCACAAGCGGCGGAGCAUGCGGAUUAAUUCGAUGCAACGCGUAGAACCUUACCUGGGUUUGACAUGGAUCGGGAGUGCUCAGAGAUGGGUGUGCCUCUUUUGGGGUCGGUUCACAGGUGG
rnacentral:rRNA from 1 species